rnacentral:rRNA from 1 species
CCUACGGGAGGCUGCAGUGGGGAAUAUUGCACAAUGGGGGAAACCCUGAUGCAGCAACGCCGCGUGAGUGAAGAAGUAUUUCGGUAUGUAAAGCUCUAUCAGCAGGGAAGAAGAAAGACGGUACCUGACCAAGAAGCCCCGGCUAACUACGUGCCAGCAGCCGCGGUAAUACGUAGGGGGCAAGCGUUAUCCGGAUUUACUGGGUGUAAAGGGGGCGCAGACGGCAAUGCAAGCCAGGAGUGAAAGCCCGGGGCCCAACCCCGGGAGUGCAUUUGAAACUGUCUGGCUAGAGUGCAGGAGAGGUAAGUGGAAUUCCUAGUGUAGCUGUGAAAUGCAUAGAUAUUAGGAGGAACACCAGUGGCGAAGGCGGCUUACUGGACUGUAACUGACACUGAGGCUCGAAAGCGUGGGGAGCAAACAGGAUUAGAUACCCCUGUAGUC